AGUUACUAAAUCAAAUAUUAAACAAUGGCUUUUACGUUGAAAUGUUUCAGAAUUCCAGGACAAAAACCAGGGCAGAUGUGAAGAGAACAGUUUCCUGUAUCAUGGUGCUGGAAGAACUAUUACAAGUUGACUUUCUCCUGGUGCUCAUGUGCUAUAUUUGCUUUGCAUAAGAGAAUAAAAGACCUGGCCCAUAUCCUCAGAAGCUUCCAAUCUCAGGCCCUGAUCGUACGAACACUUAAGCAUAUGUUUUUGCUUAAUUCCCAGUAGGAUUAAUGGAUCUGCUCACAUGGGAAAAGGCUGACAUAGAGAAAAAGACCAACAGUUACCCUUGGAGAAGAGACCUGUAGAUGGAAUUACAACUGUUGCUGUGCUCCCAAUAUUUCAACAAAGACAGCAUAAAAUCUAGAGGGGCAAAGAUGUGCCUGAGGUAUUACAAGUUUCUGUGACAGUGAAUUAACUUGUGACAUAAUAACUUCUUUAAAAAAGAACUUUAAUUGGAAUUCACUCGACAAAAGCUAACAUGUUGACUGGUGAGACGGGAC